rnacentral:lncRNA from 1 species
UAUAUGCAUCCUAGUCUUUAUUUAGUCUUCUCUAUUUCACCACACUUUGGCAUCACCAAACUCACAAGUUGCACUUAAAAUUUUCUUGCUACCUUUUCCUCAAAAAAAAAAAAAUAAUUUUUUUCUCGUACUAACACGUGGUCCUUUACCAAAGUACCAUGUAACCGAGCCCCAUCGCCAACUCAUUCUUAGCUCAUCCAAAUCAGAAUCGGACCGAGUUAGCUCAGGCGGUCCCUGAUAACGAUUCUGCCCCUCCUGCCGGUCUUAGAAUAUAGAAACAUGUUCCUUAAUCC